rnacentral:rRNA from 1 species
GGGGAAUAUUGCGCAAUGGGGGAAACCCUGACGCAGCAACGCCGCGUGGAGGAAGAAGGUCUUCGGAUUGUAAACUCCUGUCUUCUGGACGAAAAAAAUGAACGUACCCGGAGGGGAAGCCACCGCUAAAUACGGUCCAGCAGCCGCGGUAAUACGUAGGUGGCAAGCGUUGUCCGGAAUUAUUGGGCGUAAAGGGCGCGUAGGCGGCAACCUAAGUCAGAUGUGAAACCCCGGGGCUUAACUCCGGACGUGCAUUUGAAACUGGGUAGCUAGAGUGCAGGAGAGGAAAGCGGAAUUCCUAGUGUAGCGGUGAAAUGCGUAGAUAUUAGGAGGAACACCAGUGGCGAAGGCGGCUUUCUGGACUGUAACUGACGCUGAGGCGCGAAAGCGUGGGGAGCAAACA